GUUCAGGGCAGGGUACUGGGUGGAGGCUGGCUAGUAACAGUAACUAAGGUUCAGGGCAGGGUACUGGGUGGAGGCUAGUAACAGUAACUAAGGUUCAGGGCAGGGUACUGGGUGGAGGCAGGCAGGCUAGUAACAGUAACUAAGGUUCAGGGCAGGGUACUGGGUGGAGGCUAGUAACAGUAACUAAGGUUCAGGGCAGGGUACUGGGUGGAGGCUAGUAACAGUAACUAAGGUUCAGGGCAGGGUACUGGGUGGAGGCUAGUAACAGUAACUAAGGUUCAGGGCAGGGUACUGGGUGGAGGCUAGUAACAGUAACUAAGGUUCAGGGCAGGGUACUGGGUGGAGGCUGGCUAGUAACAGUAACUAAGGUUCAGGGCAGGGUACUGGGUGGAGGCUAGUAAC
rnacentral:lncRNA from 1 species